GAUGAACGCUAGCGGCAGGCUUAAUACAUGCAAGUCGAGGGGCAGCGCGGGUAGCAAUACCUGGCGGCGACCGGCAAACGGGUGCGGAACACGUACGCAACCUUCCCAAAACUGGGGAAUAGCCCUCCGAAAGGAGGAUUAAUACCCCGUAACAUAACGAAGUGGCAUCACUUUGUUAUUAUAGUUCCGACGGUUUGGUAUGGGCGUGCGCCUGAUUAGGUAGUUGGCGGGGUAACGGCCCACCAAGCCUGCGAUCGGUAACUGGUCUGAGAGGACGACCAGUCACACUGGGACUGAGACACGGCCCAGACUCUUACGGGAGGCAGCAGUGGGGAAUAUUGGACAAUGGGCGAAAGCCUGAUCCAGCAAUGCCGCGUGAGUGAUGAAGGCCUUAGGGUUGUAAAGCUCUUUUACCAGGGAUGAUAAUGACAGUACCUGGAGAAUAAGCUCCGGCUAACUCCGUG
rnacentral:rRNA from 1 species